GACGAACGCUGGCGGCGUGCUUAACACAUGCAAGUCGAACGAUGAUGCUCCAGCCUGCUGGCGUGGAUCAGUGGCGAACGGGUGAGUAACACGUGAGCAACCUGCCCCAGACUCUGGAAUAAGCGCUGGAAACGGCGUCUAAUACUGGAUACGAAACUGGCCCGCAUGGGCAUGGUUUGGAAAGUUUUUCGGUUUGGGAUGGGCUCGCGGCCUAUCAGCUUGUUGGUGAGGUAAUGGCUCACCAAGGCGACGACGGGUAGCCGGCCUGAGAGGGCGACCGGCCACACUGGGACUGAGAGACGGCCCAGACUCCUACGGGAGGCAGCAGUGGGGAAUAUUGCACAAUGGGCGAAAGCCUGAUGCAGCGACGCCGCGUGAGGGAUGACGGCCUUCGGGUUGUAAACCUCUUUCAGCAGGGAAGAAGCGAAAGUGACGGUACCUGCAGAAGAAGCACCGGCUAACUACGUG
rnacentral:rRNA from 1 species